GAUGAACGCUGGCGGCGUGCCUAAUACAUGCAAGUCGAGCGAACAGAUAAGGAGCUUGCUCCUUUGACGUUAGCGGCGGACGGGUGAGUAACACGUGGAUAACCUACCUAUAAGACUGGGAUAACUUCGGGAAACCGGAGCUAAUACCGGAUAACAUAUUGAACCGCAUGGUUCAAUAGUGAAAGGCGGCUUUGCUGUCACUUAUAGAUGGAUCCGCGCCGUAUUAGCUAGUUGGUAAGGUAACGGCUUACCAAGGCAACGAUACGUAGCCGACCUGAGAGAGUGAUCGGCCACCCUAGAAGUGAGACACGGUCCAGGCUCCUACGGGAGGGAGCAGUAGGGAAUCUGACGCAGUGGGCGAAAGCCUGACGGAGCAGCGCCGCGUGAGUGAUGAAGGUCUUCGGAUCGUAAAACUCUGUUAUCAGGGAAGAACAAAUGUGUAAGUAACUGUGCACAUCUUGACGGUACCUGAUCAGAAAGCCACGGCUAACUACGUG
rnacentral:rRNA from 1 species